UACAGAGGGUGCGAGCGUUAAUCGGAAUUACUGGGCGUAAAGGGCGCGUAGGCGGUCUAUCAAGUGAGAUGUGAAAUCCCCGGGCUUAACCUGGGAACUGCAUCUUAAACUGAUAGGCUGGAGUACUGUAGAGGAUAGUGGAAUUUCCGGUGUAGCGGUGAAAUGCGUAGAGAUCGGAAGGAACAUCAGUGGCGAAGGCGACUGUCUGGACAGAUACUGACGCUGAGACGCGAAAGCGUGGGGAGCGAACAGG
rnacentral:rRNA from 1 species